CAGAGGUUGAGGCAGAGGGAUCUCUUCGAGUUCAGACUGGUCUAUAAAGAGAGUUCCUGCCCCGUGAUGUACAGUCCCGUUCCACGACGUUGGAGAUGAAGCUGGGCUUCGAGUCUGCGCCUGCAUAUUCCUACGGCUUCUCAGAGUCCUCUGGACCGUGACUGAGGAGACAAACCAUGCAGGAAACAGUC